rnacentral:snRNA from 1 species
GUGUUCAUUUUGGCAGCACAUAUAUUAAAAUUGGAAUGAUAUAGAAAAGAUUAGCAUGGCCCCUGUACAAGGAUGAUACACAAAUUCGUGAAGGAUUCCAUUUAAAA